CGCGGGGUUGAGCUGCAUGGCGCCCGCUCGCCCGUCCUUUCCAUCCCCUGGCUCCGCCGCCGCUGCGCUAGCCAUUUGCUAAGGAAGGACGGGACAGGUGGCGUUCACAGGAGUUGGCAUUGGUGGCUGGAGGCAUUUUACCAACAGAGAACAUUCCUAGCUGUGGCAGCCGGGGCGGAGCCAGUCAACGUGCCUGUUUGACCUGUUAAUGCAAAGAAACUAGUUACACCUGUUGAAAGCUUGUGAUAUUGCCAUAACUAUCAUUUUAGCCACUUUUACUCCCAAUAUUUUGAAAGAAAAAUUAUUUUAUAUCUUUGAGGUCAAAAGUUGCUGGUUAAACCUUUUCUGUAGGAAUUUACAAUUUUAUCCCAUUUCUGUGAAGUCUGUGCAGAAUAUUUUUUAUUGUGUACUUUUUCAUAUAGUUUAAGUUAAUACUGGUUUGGUGAACUGAUUCUGAAUGUUUUAUCAGUCUUUAUCAGUCUUGCGUCAGUCUUCCCUGUCAAUCUAAUUAAUAGAUUUGAGAUUCUAUUCAAUUGUCAUUUCUGUUAUUACUUAAAAUAACAAUAAAUAAGAACAUCAUGGGAAAUGUGAUUAUUUCAAAGCGUGAAUUAAAAAAAAUAAAAAUCAUUUGGUAUGUACUAA